UCAGAAGGAACUUACGGUUCCUUGAAGCAGAAAGUAAAUUUGCAUUUCAUAGUGAGUUGGAGAUGAGAGCAAGCUGGGAACCCACAGCAGGGAGCGCUGUCUCCUUCUUCCCAUCUUAUUUUCUCAGGAACUUGGUGGAUCAGGAAGAAGCCUCAGACUGGAGCCCAUGAAACUCCUCCUACCCAUGGAAUCUGCCAGCAGUUGGAUUCUUGACUAUCUUUAGGACUUUUCCUAAUCUCACCUUCUCCAUCUGUGAAAUGGAAAUAAUCAAAGGUAAACACAAGGAGGGCAGAGAGUUCUCCUGCAUCUGCUACUUUCUUGCCUUCAGCUCAACAAUCCUUCUGUGAAAGAGGCAUAUUUUGUGGUGCUAUGUGCUGAUCUUCCACACAGCCAAAUGGAGGCAGAGGUCACAGAGGAACUAGAAGGAUGGAAAACUGCAGGAGAGUCUCGUUGCCAUCACUCAGUCAAUCAACCAGUUUUGGAUACCUGCCAUGUGCCAAGCCCUGACUGCAGUAAAAAGGAUACCAAAAUAAAUUACUUACUGCUCUCAAAAAGCAAA